AACGUAGGUACCGAGCGUUAUCCGGAUUUACUGGGCGUAAAGCGCGUUCAGGCGGUUUGGCAAGUCGGGCAUGAAAUCUCUCGGCUCAACCGGGAGAGGUUGUCCGAUACUUCCAGACUUGAGGGCAGUAGAGGGUGGUGGAAUUCCGGGUGUAGUGGUGAAAUGCGUAGAUAUCCGGAGGAACACCAGUGGCGAAAGCGGCCACCUGGACUGCACCUGACGCUGACACGCGGAAGCUAGGGGAGCGAACGGG
rnacentral:rRNA from 1 species